AGAGUGAACGCUGGCGGCAGGCCUAACACAUGCAAGUCGAGCGGCAGCACAGCAGUAGCAAUACUGUGGGUGGCGAGCGGCGGACGGGUGAGGAAUACAUCGGAAUCUACCCAGUCGUGGGGGAUAACGUAGGGAAACUUACGCUAAUACCGCAUACGACCUGAGGGUGAAAGCAGGGGAUCGCAAGACCUUGCGCGAUUGGAUGAGCCGAUGUCCGAUUAGCUAGUUGGUGAGGUAAAGGCUCACCAAGGCGACGAUCGGUAGCUGGUCUGAGAGGAUGAUCAGCCACACUGGAACUGAGACACGGUCCAGACUCCUACGGGAGGCAGCAGUGGGGAAUAUUGGACAAUGGGCG
rnacentral:rRNA from 1 species